AUUCGUCAUUCAGUUGUAGAGCUUGGCAGUGCUCGCAUCUCAAAUUAAAUUCUCAGUUUUCCAAAUUCCAAAUUCAGAAAGAAUAUAAAAAUCGGGACCUAAUUCGACUGCCAGACAUUUGUCCGUAAAAAUGAGCUUUUAAAAAAACUUGUUUUAUCUAAGAAUUAUUAAUUUUUGGGUAGCAGUAACAUCAAAGACGCUGAAAGUGUUCAAGUGACAAAAUCCCGAUUCUAUUUUCGCUGGUAGUGCAAGUUUAAGGCUCGUUAAAUAAAGAAAAAUAAUAUAAAUCCUCUGGAAUUAUGGACCAUCGUUAACAAAUAGAUGUCAAUUUGUUUUUGGAGCAAGGUCCGAGGAUGUAGAGAUCCUUGUGUUUGCUCAUACACUUGAAUCGCGAACUCUGAACGUUGGUAUAUCGGAAUCGCUAUAUUAUAUUAUUGAGGCAUGGAGGCUGUCAUUAAUUUAUUUUCAUUUUAUGCUUCCAUAUCCUACACCGACGUUGACAGGUCUGCUGUAUAUUCAACAUGACACAAAAUACCAAAAUGAAGCAUUUUUGAACGGGGUGCAAGGUCCGAGGAUAUCAUAUCCUUGUGUUUGCCUCCGAGUAGUAGUAGUGGAGUAACAACGAAGAAAAACAAACAAAACAAGGUCCUUCUACUAGGAAACCUCCAAGCCGACUAACAUUUGAACAAGACACAAUUCUAAAUUACAGACUAGUAGCUGCAGCCUAUUUAGAAACACUGGUAUAGAUUGUUUUGUAAAUUUAUACAUUCACAUGUUCUUGUGUUUACAAUUAUGCAUGCUGUCAUAUAUCCAUAUUUAUUAAAUGCACGAUAACCAAUA